rnacentral:lncRNA from 1 species
AUGGGUGGCCUCUCCUCUGUGUCCCCUGGUCAGUGUACAGGGCACGCACAGCUCCCCAGCAUGGCUUGCACGNCCUGGUCAGUGUACAGGGCACACACAGCUCCCCAGCAUGGCUUGCACGCUUGCUGUCCUUGGGGCAAGAAAGGGUUCCAGCAGCUGGGACGGUGGGAGCAUGGCCGUGCAGGGCAGGGUAGAGCUGUGAGCAGAGCAAGGAGCCCGGGUGCCCGGGGCGGACGGCCAACCCCAGGGUGUCAGCCUGUCUGCAGGAGGCAAGGGGCUGUUCUCCCCGGGCCCCAGGCAGGGUUGACCUCCUCUGGGGUGGGAGUUCCGGGGCUGACCCCAGGCUUCUCGGGACAUGCCUGGUGGGCUGGGGCAUUGGGAGUCAAAAGGGGGUCCCCCAGAACAGCCAUGGUGAGGGUUUACCCGUGCAGGGUUUAUGGUGCAGGGAAGCGGCUGGGCGGGGCGGAGCUCGGCCAGGGUGCACUGGCCUUGGAGGGGUCAGCCUGGCUGCGGGCUGAGCCCCCCGGCAUGGCUCGCCCCUGGGGGGACCAAUUAGCAGACGCUGCCCUGAAGGCCAAGUUGGGUCCAGGAGGCCCUGAGGGCGUAGGCACGGGACUCACCGAGCCAGGCGGAGUGCAAGGCCCCCUUCUCACCAGAACCCCUUCGUACGUGGCCCACAGGCUGGUGCUCGCCCCCCUCGCCCCGGCGGGCCCAGUCCGGAGCAGGACCUGCCGCUGGCUGAGGCCCGGGGCCUGUGGACCCUGCGGGGGUGUCGCCAGGGGCCUGGGGACGAGGAGCUGUCGGGUGGGGAGACUGCAGGCAGGUGGAGGCGCCCUCCCCGCACCAGGCAGGGGUCUAGGUGUGGGGGCUUCAGGGCUGGGCGAGCCCCACAGUCCCCCCUGCCCUGGUGGACAGAGGGCGGACACAGACGGGAGCAGGACCGCUGCUCCAGGGCAGGGGGCCCUUUGGGGUGAGAGGUCCAGCAGGGCCUCUCUGAGGAGGGCUUCUGUCCUGGGGCUCCCGGGGUCCAGUGAUGGGCGGAGGAGGCACCUGGAAUGGCGGCCCUGGGGAGCCAGUGACUGCAGUUUGAGCAGGCUCCCUGUCUCUGGGCGGGGGUCCUGCCGCCCGAGGGUGCAGACUGGCCAGAAGCGGGAGAGGCGCUCCCCAGCACAGUGGGCAGACCCCCAGGUCACACGGCGGGGGGCAGGCCCCCAGGUCACACGGCGGGGGGCAGACCCCCCCAGGUCACACAGCGGGGGGCAGACCCCCAAGUCACACGGCGGGGGGCAGGCCCCUCCAGGUCACAUGGCAGGGGGCAGGCCCCCACCCACCUCCUGA